rnacentral:rRNA from 1 species
CGAUGAACCUCCUUCGGGAGGGGAUUAGUGGCGAACGGGUGAGUAACACGUGGGCAAUCUGCCCUGCACUCUGGGACAAGCCCUGGAAACGGGGUCUAAUACCGGAUACUGAUCAUCUUGGGCAUCCUUGGUGAUCGAAAGCUCCGGCGGUGCAGGAUGAGCCCGCGGCCUAUCAGCUUGUUGGUGAGGUAAUGGCUCACCAAGGCGACGACGGGUAGCCGGCCUGAGAGGGCGACCGGCCACACUGGGACUGAGACACGGCCCAGACUCCUACGGGAGGCAGCAGUGGGGAAUAUUGCACAAUGGGCGAAAGCCUGAUGCAGCGACGCCGCGUGAGGGAUGACGGCCUUCGGGUUGUAAACCUCUUUCAGCAGGGAAGAAGCGAAAGUGACGGUACCUGCAGAAGAAGCGCCGGCUAACUACGUGCCAGCAGCCGCGGUAAUACGUAGGGCGCGAGCGUUGUCCGGAAUUAUUGGGCGUAAAGAGCUCGUAGGCGGCUUGUCGCGUCGGUUGUGAAAGCCCGGGGCUUAACCCCGGGUCUGCAGUCGAUACGGGCAGGCUAGAGUUCGGUAGGGGAGAUCGGAAUUCCUGGUGUAGCGGUGAAAUGCGCAGAUAUCAGGAGGAACACCGGUGGCGAAGGCGGAUCUCUGGGCCGAUACUGACGCUGAGGAGCGAAAGCGUGGGGAGCGAACAGGAUUAGAUACCCUGGUAGUCCACGCCGUAAACGGUGGGCACUAGGUGUGGGCGACAUUCCACGUCGUCCGUGCCGCAGCUAACGCAUUAAGUGCCCCGCCUGGGGAGUACGGCCGCAAGGCUAAAACUC